CUCUGAACGACUGAGAGACCAGACCAGACCAGAUCAGAGGUUAUGAGGAGAUUUCUCAGAGUUGACAGACAUGAAGAUUACGGUCAGAUUCAGCAUCUCACGGCUAAAUGCAUCCGGCUGUUUCAGGAGAAAGCAGUGCUCCAGCGAGAGCUGCUGGUGUCUGGUGAGCGUCAGCAGGUUCUGCAGGCAGAGAUGGAGGGACUGUCGGUGCGUGUGUGUCAGAAGGAGCAGCUCUAUGUGGAGCUGAGCAUCAAAUAUGAACAACUUCUGGAGCGAUUUCAGAUACAGCAGGAACAGGCCGAUCUCCUGCAGCAGCAUUUAAUCUCUGUGACGGAGGAGCGCUGGAGGGACGCCUCACUGCUGUGUCUUCAGCUGGAGCAGGUGAGCUGUGAUUUACAGCAGCUGCAGGGCUCAGAAAAGCAGCUCAUGGGUCUGGUGGACGAGCUGCACCAGGAGGCCCAGCUCAGAGCCCAGCAGGCUGAGGUCCUGGAGACGCAGCUCCGCGAGGAGACUCAGAAAAUAAAAGACCUAGAGAUGCAGCUAAACAG
rnacentral:lncRNA from 1 species